AGCGAACGCUGGCGGCAGGCUUAACACAUGCAAGUCGAGCGGGCGUAGCAAUACGUCAGCGGCAGACGGGUGAGUAACGCGUGGGAACGUACCUUUUGGUUCGGAACAACCCAGGGAAACUUGGGCUAAUACCGGAUAAGCCCUUACGGGGAAAGAUUUAUCGCCGAAAGAUCGGCCCGCGUCUGAUUAGCUAGUUGGUGAGGUAACGGCUCACCAAGGCGACGAUCAGUAGCUGGUCUGAGAGGAUGAUCAGCCACAUUGGGACUGAGACACGGCCCAAACUCCUACGGGAGGCAGCAGUGGGGAAUAUUGGACAAUGGGCGCAAGCCUGAUCCAGCCAUGCCGCGUGAGUGAUGAAGGCCCUAGGGUUGUAAAGCUCUUUUGUGCGGGAAGAUAA
rnacentral:rRNA from 1 species